UACACACAAUAUGCUCAAUAUGUGAAAUACAACAUGGCAUCACAACAAGACUCUACGACUCAAAGUAUUUAUUCAUUAGGCUCCGAGGAGCGAGAUAUUACAAACAUGGGUCUCAUGACCCAACAUUUAGAGCAUACAAGCAACAAGCACAUGCGGAAGCUUAACUUGUCUGAGUACAGACAACUACAAAUGAAGAAGGCUCAGAAGCCUGACUAUCUACAAGACCCUCCCAAGGUACAAGAUCGUAGUUGAGGUAACAAGCUAAGCGUCGAAGUCCACGUGGAACUACUAGCGAUAUUGACGUCUCUCUGCAAAAACAUAAAUUAAGCAAACGUGAGUACAAAUGUACUCAGCAAGACUUACAUCAGAGCUAACUACAUAUGCAUCAUUAUCAACAAAGGGAUGGUGGAGUUUAACUACAGCAAGCCAGCUUUGACUCGGUGGCUAUCUGAACUACGACUGCAAGUAACCCUUUUGAGGUGGUGCACACGAGUCCACAAAUUCACCAUACCAAUACACCACUAUGGAUCCGCUCCCGUCUCCCUACGAGAACGCCAUCCAUAGCACUCACGCUUAUCUUGCGCAUUUUAGAUUAUCCACUUUCACUUGUCUAUGAACUAUGCAAGGGGUCCAAGUUUCCAUAUCCGAGGAAUCCGGCUAUUCGAAUAGAUAAUGAUAACCCUGCAGGGGUGUACUUCUUCACACACGCUCUCGCCACUUAUCGCCCUGUACAUGUCAUGUACCUCGGCAACCUUCAAGCGGAAGCCGGGCGAGGGAGUCGGCCACGACCUGACUAAUCACACAAGUCUCUCGUCCAGGUUUAUCGCCUAUUCGGGUUCCAUCCGCAAGGAGAUCCGGCUGGGGUGUCGCUCACGGCCCCAAACGAUGUGUACAGGGUUCCCAAGCCCACCAUCCGGGUGCCACUUGGUACAUCGGGCCACUGUGCCUAGUCUGUCCCAAGCCCACCUGUACCGGGUGCCACUUGGUAGACUACUAACACUACCUACAAACACCAGAAACUAGUUGCAACUCCUAGACAGAGAUCGAGUGGAUUAAUAAGUCGAGAGGGGUCGAGUUACUGGAACCCAAUGUGUGGUAGUAACUGUUCAUGGAUCACAAACACAGAACUCAGUUCCUAAGAACGGCUGCAAUGAGACAACCCACCAUGUACUCCUACAUGGCCUCUCACCGCUACCUUUACCAAAUCGGGUUCACACACUUAGCUCUCAACGGUAGGACAUGUUCACCACAUUCCAAUUCAUCCCCGAUGAAUCAUACCUGACUCAACUCUAAGAAGUAGCAGGCAUGACAAACAAACAUAAAUGAGUAGGCACAUCAGGGCUCAAACAACUCCUACUCAUGCUAGUGGGUUUCAUCUAUUUAAUGUGGCAAUGACAGGUCAUGCAGAGGAAAGGGGUUUAGCUACCGCAGCAUGUAACAGUUGAAACGUUGUUGUCCUAAUGCAGUAAAAGAGAGCGGGAGCGAGAGAGUGGGAUUGUAUCAGAAUGAACAAGGGGGUUUUGCUUGCCUGGCACUUCUGAAGAUAUUAUAGCUCUUCAUCGGUGUCAUCGAUCACAGCGUCGGAGCAGCGUCUACCGAGAGGGGACAAUUACCGGCAAACAAGGAAGAGCACAAUCAAUGCAAUGCACAAUAUGAUGCAUGAUCAUGACAUGACAAUAUGUUGUGAUUUGAGCUAAUGCAACUAGUAACAUAAAGGUUUGGAUUGAUUUGAACUCAAGGUUCAAAUUCAAAUUCAAACUAUGAAUUCAAAUAGUGCAUUAUCAUGUUUUGGACUAAACAGUGAGGUUAAGUUGUUCAAACAUGCAUGAAAAUGGUACAAAUGGAUAGAUUGAAUUUUUCUGAUGAUUUUUCAUAUAUAAAUUAUUUCAUUUGGAGUUACGGUUGAAUUUAUAUGAAUUUUUGAAGUCUAUACUAUUUUCUGGAAUUUCUAAUUAUUUUCUGAUUUAUUUUAAUUCCACAAAAAGCUUUACUGCGUCAGCACUACGUCAAGGUGAUGUCAGCAGGUCAACUAGACGGGUCCUGGUAAAACCUGACUAGUGGGGUCCACUGGUCAGUGACACAAUGCUGUCCAGGGUCAAUGACAGGUGGGUCCGGUCAACGGCCACGUCAGCAAGGUCAACCUGACAUGUGGGCCCAGUGGAUUAGUCUAAGUUAAACAGGGAAUAAAAACCGGGGAUUAAUUAGGGUGUGGGGCCCUUCCGUCAGUGGCACAAGGUUAAGCUAACCGCGGGGUUAGUGGCUAAACUAACCUGCCACGUCACCUAACCGGCGUUUAACCGCCGGCGCUAACAGAACACGGCGGCGAUCGCCGGCCAGCCGUUUCCGGCCACGGCUGGACGCACCGAGGGUACCGGAGGCAAGCUCGUGCUCUCCCGCAUCCAGGGGAGGUCUCAGGAGGUCGCGGGGUGGCCUGGUUCAUCGACGGCGAGCAUUUGGGCGGCAGCCAGAGUUCGGUGUGCGAGCGAGCACGGCUAUAGGGCGCUAGUGGCUAACCAAAGGGGUCCUCUGGACUCCUGGCAUCUUCAGGAACACGACCAUGCGCUCGGGCGCGUCUAAUGCAUGCUAGAUCGAUGGCGGCGACGAGGGCGCCGGCGGUGAGCUCACGGAUGCGGCGAGGCUACCAGCUAGAGGACGCAACCAACGACGGAAGUAGGGGGAAAAGAUGGGCGGCCUCACAGCGGUUGCAGCACGCGUCUCGGUGGGCUCGGGGAAGGUCGGACGAUGCCGGGACAACGAGGCGAAUCUUCGGCGGCCGAAGAAGGGGAUGACGGCGAUGGCGGCGUUACGGGGCGCUCCGACUGGCUUCCUUCUAUGGAGAUGCGUAGCGCGAGGUGGCGGAGCUGCUGGGCAUCCUAGCUAGGCGCGGGGGGCUUGGUGGCCACGGCAACGGCGAGCGGCGUCGACGACGGCUCUCUGUUCGGGCGAAGAACGAAGAGGAAGAGGGGGGAAAUGGCCAGGGAAGAAGGGGGGGUCAGCACGGCCUCGUCCACGUCUCCUGGGCGCGGGGUUGGGGGGAAGGAGGCAUCGACACGGUGAAGCAGGAGGUGGCUGGGGCGCGCCUGCGUGCAUCGGCCACGUGCGCCCGUCCCUCCGGCAAGAGGAAGACGACAGGAGGAGGUGGGCUAGGCCAGGUGGCUAGGCGGGCCGACUGGGCCGGCUAGGUGGGCUGCAGGUGAGACCAGGUGAGUCCUUCUCUCUCUCUCCUUUUUUAUGUUUUCUAUUUUCUGUCUUUGUUUUUUGGAUUUAGUAAAAUACUAAACCGCUUUAUAAAAUCCUGAAAUAAAUUGUGGGCACAUACUGGAUUAUUCCCAACAGCCCUCAACUACUUUUCAGAAUUAUUAGAGCAUUUAAAAUAUUUAUAGAAUUUAAAUGCCCCAAUUCAGAUACAAUAUGAGUUAAUUCAAAAAUCCAUAAAUGGCCAAGAAAUAUGCUCAUCAUUUUUGGCAGAGGUUUUCACCUUUAUCAAAGUCAUGAACAUUUCCAAAGGCAUUUUGGGUUCAUUGAAGAUUAUUUUAGGUUGAACCUAUUUGAUCUGGUGCUAGGGUUUGAACAAUCCCCAUUUCAAGUUUAAAAGAAAUUUAGACAUGAUGCAGCAACCAAGCUAGUCCAAGCGCAUGGCAAACCAAAGCCAUAUGCCAGCCACCGCCCUCUAAACUAUCCCCAUCACUUGGCCCUUCGCGGUCUGGGGGCUUGACAUGGUUGGACCCCUUAAAGGCGGAACCCACAAGCAAAAAUACUUACUGGUCAUGGUGGAUAAGUUCACCAAAUGGAUAGAAGCCAAGCCUGCUAAGACGGCCGAAUCCGGAUCGGUGAUAGACUUUAUAUCCGGGGUUGUACACCGUUACGGCGUCCCCCACAGCAUCAUCACUGAUAACGGCACGAACUUUACGGCCGACGAGGUAAAACUCUGGUACAAAAACAUGGGCAUCAAGCUCGAUUAUGCUUCCAUCUAUCACCCACAAACUAACGGCCAGGUCAAACGUGCAAAUGGUCUUAUCAUGAGCGGCAUCAAACCCAGAUUAGUGCGGUCCCUCAAAGAAUCUAACACGCACUGGGUAGAGGAGCUCGACUCCAUACUCUGGGGGCUGCGGACCACGCCGAAUCGCACCACCGGAUACACACCAUUCUUUAUGGUGUACGGCGCAGAGGCAGUUUUGCCUUGCGACAUAAUUCAUGACUCACCUCGAGUGCGCAUGUACGAAGAAAGAGAAGCCGAGCUCGAUCGGCAGGACAGUUUGGACGCAUUGGAGGAGGAGCGUGACAUGUCAAAAGUCCGUUCCGCAUUCUAUCAACAGUAGGCUCAAAGAUACCAAAGCAGAGAAGUACGGGCCAAAAAUUACAACGUUGGCGAAUUAGUUCUAUGCCUGCCGGACAAGAAAAAGGACAAACUCAAGCCCAAGUGGGAAGGUCCCUUCAUAAUUGACCAAGUCCUGACUGGUGGAGCGUACCGCCUGCGAGAUGCAUCGGAUAACCGACUCGAGCCGAACCCAUGGAACACAGCCCGUCUCCGAAGAUUCUAUGCCUAGCGCUGGACUCUGUGUUCGUCUCCUUCCUUUGUCCAUUUUUUAUAUUGUCUGUCUUACAUUUCUCUCCUUCUCCCCUUCCUUUCUCUUAUAGCCUUUAAAGGCUCAUCAAAUGACGUGAUAUUCGCAUUCAUUAAACCUGGGGGCUUCUUUUAACAGAAGCUUAUUUAUACGGGCUUCAUGCCCAACACAUGUGUUACACUUCCGCAUGUACCUUUUAUUUCACCAUUAUAUGCAUCGAUAUGACUUAAGUUUUGGCCAAGCUGGGUUGCCUGGCUCCUGUGCUUACCCCUAUGUUCCCGAUUAUUCGGCUAGGCGGUAAAGGGAGCACCUCUGCGAUUGUUACUGCCGGAUCAGCCGGAUGUGUACCUCAGACUGGGUGAAGCCGAAAGCUAGCGUUCUUAAGGGAAUAUUCGGUCGGUGACCUAAAAGAUGAUCUUUUCACUUAUUUAUUUAUGCGCCCCCAGAUGCUUUUUCCCGCCUCUUUUUCGCAGAAUGGGCAUGCACUUUAGGGCAUGCCUCCCAGGGAAAGGAACCCCUAACGGAACUAUUCUCCCUGGAAGAUGUUUCUUACUAACCAUGUAAUAUAACAUAACUAGUCGGGCACUUGUCUGUUCACGCACUAAUGACCCCUACGCCUGGUCUCCAUGCAUUCCCCGGCUCUUAUAUAAUCGCAUGGGAAUUCGGACACACUCCGGACCGUCAGGUCCCGAGGCUGAAGCGAAAAGGUCGGCCAUGACAAACGAUCUACAAUCCGGCUAGAAGGCAUUAUAAAUGUCAAUUAAAUUACAUAGUCAUUCUGACUGAUUGUAUUCUUCUUCAAUACCAUCUAACAGGCUGUCUAAUUUACAGUCCUGCUGGGAAUACUUUGCGACCAAUUCUACUUGGCCGUAUACUAAGCUUACAGGGAUCUCCUUCCCAUUGGGCCCCACAGGACCGACCUCGGCCAUGUGGUUGGGGUCAGCCUUUGUGUACCGCAUCUUCACCAUGGCCCAGGCCUCCCUAGCGCCUUGACGGCAUGCCGAUAUCUUCCACAAUCAGAAGCGCCACCGUGCUCCCUUUAACUUCUCCGCAAGCUCUCCAAGACCUUCGGGCAUGGAGAUGGAUGGCCACAAGGCAUGGGCGACGCCUUGCAUCGCCUGCCGAACUCGCUCGAGCAGUUGCGAGAGCUCGGGAAGGAGGUCACCCGUAGAACCGGGCAUCUCCUCUGCAGGACGACCUGUUAGCACACCUACAGACAUUACUCUGUUAGUCGACUUCCCCGCCGAACUUUUUUCAAAGGUUCGUUCAAGCACUUACUAAAUAUGCCGCGCCGAAGCCGCUGAU
rnacentral:lncRNA from 1 species